rnacentral:lncRNA from 1 species
CUAAUAGAAAUUGUUCAUUGAAAGGCUUAAGUGAUGUGAGAGUUUCCACUUUGAAUUAAAUAUUGAUUUACUAUAUGAGUUAGAAAAAUGCUCUUGAGGACUAUUUUUAUGAUAAUUACAAUACUUCUGUAAUAUUCUAGUAUUUUUAUAGUAUUUAUGACAUUUAUAUAUUGAUAGAUUUUAUGAAGAAUUGAAGAUUGCCCUUUUAGCUUGGAAAAAUGUUGUCAUAGCAGUCAUAUGCUACUGUUCAGAAUGCCUUUCAUUUACCCCUAAAUAUAGUUAUGGGAUUAAAUCAACAGAAUUGAUUGAUAAUCACAUUAAUAUACUGUAAGUAAGGUACUAAUUUGUCUUCUCAGAGGGGAAAAAAAGAGAACAACUUACUGUGCAUUGACAAACAUACAAACAUGGAGUUCUUGGAGAUGGGAAAAUAAAAUAUAAUGUUCUCCAAUCAUUCAAAUAUUUUCAUAAGAAAGAUACCACUGAGAUAUAUAGGGUUACAUAUAGUACUACUGCACAAAUAGAUUUAUAUCUGAUACAGUAUUGACACUAUAAUUUGAUAAACCCGAUCAAUAGUAAUUUCAAGAUUGAGUACAUGCAUUCUCUGCUCUUCUUUUUUUGCUGUGUUUAUUUAUUCGGUUUAAUUUGGUUUGUCUAGUUAACAUUUCUAGAAUGACAGUGAUAUGAGGUCUAAACUGAAUGUAGGCAUUAGGCAAAAUAUUUCAGCAUUUCAUUGUUUAUUUUAAUUUGAAAUUAAUUAAUGUGAGAUAUCAGGCCCUAUAAAGACAAUGAGUGCCAUCUAUAAAUGAUAAUAUAAAUCAAUAAAGAGGAGGAGGUUACAUGAUUUAUGUUGGAACUGAGCCACCAUGUAAUAACUGAUGCUCGUUACAGCCUCAACAAUGAAUGGGAAAUCAAAACAUUAAAUACUGCAAGCAAGAAGACCAUCCUAUUUUGCACUGAAAAAGAAGAAAAACAAACAACGGGUGGAACUUCACUGCAAAUGUUGUCUUACGAAGUGUCCCUGUAUCAGGAAGCUGUCAGAAUGUCCUGAAUUGGAAGGAUGUGGGAAAGGAUCACUGAACCCUGUUCCUGGUCCUGCACAGAAAAACCCCAAGAAUCACACCAUGUGCUAUGUUCCAGGUCUUAGCUGAUUGUAUUCAAAGAGUCUUAUUUUCCUGCAAUAUAUUAUGAAUGGCUUUGGAAGAAACACCUGGAAAUGCUAAUAUUGUGUGGUGACAGCAAAAUGCUGGAAUAAAAGAGGGAAGAAGCUGGAUAUCCUGGCAGUUCUGCAGUACACCAAGUCUGUUAUUUCUGUUCUGUCUUUAUAAUGGCCAUAAAAUAUGAGCUGGGAGUAUGAUGUCAAUGCAUCCACUUUCAAUAAUUGAUAUGAUGAAUAAUCUCAACCUUCUGACACUUUCUGUAUCUUCUCACAUCUCAGGAAACUUCAUUCAUCAACCACAUUUGAAAUGUUUAAGUAAUCUCAGUGAUGUAUGGAGCACUGAAACUCCCUUGUUAGAAAUCUAUGCUACUAACAUUCUAUCAAAUUAAAAAGCCACUGAGCUCUUGUGCAUAAAAUUAUCAUAAAUUAUCUCUGAAGGUUCAUUGCUGUUUGGAAUGUUUAAUUGCUCACUCAGCUGAACUUCAGCAGCUCAAGAUUAUUAAUCAAUUUGUCAGAAGGUUUCUCAUAAUGUCAUAUUUUACACUGUGGUUAUAUGCAAGGAAAACCCAUGUGCAAGACAGUUUUAUGCAGCAAGUCAAAAGUAUCCAUGCAUACCUUUCACAAUAUUCAUUUCAUAUAUUUAUGAGGGUAUUUUUCAGUUGUUGAUUUCUCACAAAACAUAAGAAAAUUGUAAUUACCUCAGUCUAAUUUAUCUGGGUGGAAAACUAGAUUCUCAAAAAUAUAUUUAAAAGUAAAAUGGAGACAGAUAAUAAAAUGUAACUAUUGAAUCAUUCAAUCCUGGCCUACUGUUGAUUGUCUUCACUACAAUAAAUAUUCUUCUAAAUGCAGUAAAGAUGUUUUGAAAAUGCCAUACCUUAAAUGUACAUGAACAGCAUCUUCAGCCAUUUUUCUUGCACAAAUGCACAGAAUGCAUUUUUGUUUUAAAGUAAUUUUUCAGGAGAGAAUUUAACUUUGAUGUACUAAACCAUGUAUUUCAUCUUAAUUGAAACACAUGUUCCAUUAUUUGCAUUGAAUAUUUUUUAUUAUUUUAAUGGUUAUCAAUUCAUCCUUUUUAUACAGUUUUCUUUCUUUUGUUUUACAAAUGCAUAAGACUUAUUUUUCAAGUGUAUAAGACUUUAUUAAUGGGCUGAUGGUAAUAUUUUUAUUUGCAAAUUUUUUUAUCCGUCAUUUCUUUUAGGAGAAACAUAGAAGUAGAGGAUUCUGCAUUUCCUGUUCUGGAGAAUUCAAAAGUGUUUUAGAGAAACAUAUUUAAUUCUCCUGAAGCCAUUUUAUUUUCUUAAACCAGAAAAGUUUCAAAAUAUAAAGACUGGAAAAACCAUGGACAUUAUCCACUUUUUCUACUCCAUGAAUGAUCAUCAUAUUAUUCCCACGCAUGUGGAAAGAUAGAGGAUGAAAGCCAACAUGUAGUUAAUAAAUGUCAAGUAUCUAUUUGAUCUUAAGUAUUUAUGUAUAAAUAAAGUAUAUCAUACAUGGUAUUUCUACCAAAAACUGAAAAUGAAAGAAAAUAUCAGGUUGGGUGUUUGUUUUGUCAAGCUUCUUGCAUGAAAUUAAAAUAUUGGAAUGAUAAAUAUUCUUGUGUGUCAAAAACAAAUGGUCCAGUUAUCAGAAAUUUGCUGUGAACUGGCAUUAGUAUUUUUUUAUUCAUGUUUUUCUACUGUAUUUCUUCAAAGCCUUUCUUAAAAUCUAUUAUGUCCUUUAGCUGAUGAUAAAAUGGAAACAAAACAAAAGUAAUAAAUAAAUCACCUACAUUUUCUGACAUCUGGGGUUAUAAAAGCACAUCACAACAAAUGCAAAGCAGAUCCUUGGUACAAUUUCAUCACCAUUACCCAGCUCCAUUACAACAAAACUUCUAACACCAAAAAAUAAAGAUUGUCAUUAUGUUUGGCUUUGAUUCAACUCCAAAAUGAUAUGCUGAAGAUUGAGUAUAAUAUCGUCUGAAGAAAUAGGAAGAGAAGCCAGAUCUUCAGAUUCCCAAUAAUAUGUCUUAACACAUGAAUCCUUCCUUCAUCACCCUGCUCAACAGUGAUGCCUUACAGAUGAACAACUGAGCUGUGAUUAAACAGCUUAUAGACUUUUCAGCAUUUGUUUCUUUCUUUUAAUCUUUUCAUUAUACAAGUCUGCCAUAGCAUAUAUUAGCACUAGGAAAAUAUAGGAAUUAGAAAUGCAGAGACGAACAUGUUUAAAAUGCACUAUGUAUGUGGCAGAUCACAAUUUCUAGAAACAUUCAUUUCUGUAAGGUCUUUGUAGUUCUUCCUUUAUCCAACAUCAAUUUAUUUUGCCAUUGAUUACUUCAAAUCAACUUGGAUUGAACAUACUAUUUUAACAUAUUAUGCACUUUCCCAAACCUGCACAUACUUGGCUCAAAUUACCUCAGAACCAUGCUGAAAACAAACUCAUCACUAAGAAUUGAGACUGUUACUGUUUCAAUGAAAAGAAAUUGAGGACCAGACAGGAGUUUUGUAUAUUAAAAAGGUUAGGCAUUUCUGACCAUGUACAGAGAAAAUUAAAGUGGUGCUGUAAUUAGCUCAUCGAUAAAUCAAUAGGUCUGAAUGAUAACUGGAAUGGUUUGGAUGUCAAGAAUCCAGAAGCUUAUUAUGUGUGUAAUAAAGAUCAAGGCACAUAAGUUAGCAUUCACAGCUUUACUUAUGUCUGCUAGUUUCUUCUCCUCUCACAACACCAUCCCUCUUCUCAUUUAAUCAUGAAAGCUAGAUUAACUUCUUUUGUCAUUCAACCAUUUAGAAAAC